rnacentral:rRNA from 1 species
GACGAACGCUGGCGGCGUGCCUAAUACAUGCAAGUCGAGCGGACGGAUGGGAGCUUGCUCCCAGACCGUCAGCGGCGGACGGGUGAGUAACACGUGGGCAACCUGCCUGUAAGACUGGGAUAACUCCGGGAAACCGGGGCUAAUACCGGAUAACUCUUUCCCUCACAUGAGGGAAAGCUGAAAGAUGGCAUCUCGCUAUCACUUACAGAUGGGCCCGCGGCGCAUUAGCUAGUUGGUGAGGUAACGGCUCACCAAGGCGACGAUGCGAAGCCGACCUGAGAGGGUGAUCGGCCACACUGGGACUGAGACACGGCCCAGACUCCUACGGGAGGCAGCAGUAGGGAAUCUUCCGCAAUGGACGAAAGUCUGACGGAGCAACGCCGCGUGAGUGAUGAAGGUUUUCGGAUCGUAAAACUCUGUUGUCAGGGAAGAACAAGUACCGGAGUAACUGCCGGUACCUUGACGGUACCUGACCAGAAAGCCACGGCUAACUACGUG